AUGAAAGGAUUUUAUAAAGUGUCUUGAAAUCGAAUAAUGAUUUUAAAAAAUAGAGUAAUUGGAGACCACUUGUUAUAUUGUAAAUUUAUGAUUUGAAAUCAAAUGGCUUAUGACAAUAUUUGCAUGAAUGGCUGAAUUGAUAUUUGUGUUGAAAUGUAUGAAAUUUGUAUUUAGCCUUGAAAGGCUGUGAAUUACAAUAAUUGCCAUAUCAUGUUAUUGAAUUUUAUUGUAUGGUGGGUUUAGCUUGCUGCAGUGGGCAGAUUCUGUGGACCAGCCUAUUAGAGGGGCACAGAAUCCAAAUAUAUAUAUGUACCUCGGUCGGAGAGACGCGUAAGGUAUCUCUUGAGGUAUGGACAGAGUUCGCGUCACGCCGAACCACCUCAUGAUGAGGAACUCAGCUAACGCCAAGGAAUGACUGUGUUUUUCAAACUAAAAAUAUGUUUUACGUGUAUACGAAACUUUUUAACAACCUUGGUGGGCUCAAGUGUACGCCUCUGAUCAAGGUGUCAUCGAGUACUAUUUGAUCGAUGUUUAUGAAAGUCAUAAGCCUUAAUGAGAAAUUAAAUGAAAUACAACCGUUUGCAUGGGUUGGGAUGAAUUUUCAAAUUAUGAAAUACUUAAAAUGAUGGGAAAUUUUAAUUGUCUCCUUUUACUCGGCUUUAGCUGAUUUAAAUGAUGUUUGUUUACUCACUGGGAUUUUAUAAUCUCACCACCCUCAUUUUCACCCAUUUCAGGCUCAGAGUAGGCUGUAGAUAGCUGAUUCCAUCAAUGGCUUUUAUUGGAUUAGCGUCCUCCACACAGUAGGUUCACAGUUUCUUUAAUUCUGGUUAUUAUGGGCCCACUUGAUAUUGUAAAUUUAAUAGUUUAUUGUGCUACAAUAUGAUGAAUUUAUUUUUUUUUUUACAUUACAAAAAGUAUUUACACAUAACUCCAAAAUUUCUGUUCAUAAGAAAAUAAAAUAUUUUAUGGAAUAUUUUGUUUUAUCUUCUUAUUAUAUUCAAAUAAUUAUAAUUUUAUUUUAAAUAAAGGUUUUAGAUGCCUAAACUUAUUUUUAAUUGUGAAUUAUGCGAUUGGUACUUGUUUACUACAUUUUUAACUGGUUUCGUAAUUUUCAGUGGAAAAUGACCAAAAUGCCCCUAUGAGACAAUUUUUUUUUAUCAGUUUUAAGUUGGAAAUAGCUCAAAAUCCUUUAGAACAUAAUAUUUGGCAACAGUUACUCACCGGGGGAAAUGAGAAACUGAUGUUAAGCCUUGUAGGGUUUCGGUUGGCAUUUCGGGAGAUGAGUACCUAUCGGGGCACUGCGGCUGUUGUCACGGGCUUGAGGGGAGUUUCGGGUCGUGACAUUAUUCCUCCAACCAGGAUUGCAAGUGUUGAAAUAUAAAUUAUUCUGUUACCUAUUAAAAUUUCCAAUGAACUAUGCAGAUUCAGCAGUAAUGGGACACUGAUCAUUGGGAUGCCUAUCUCCACAUAACUCACAUGUUGAAAAAGGACUUUGAAUAACAUUAACACCCAACGUAUCAAUUUUCUUAGUGAUAGUAGCCAAUUGUGCUGUCAAUGUAUUAAUUGCAUCAAGCUCAUGAAUACUAACAACUUUUGUUGGACCAAAUCUCUCGUAUGGCAAUUGAUAAUUGUUGGAAGCCAUCUC
rnacentral:lncRNA from 1 species